rnacentral:piRNA from 1 species
UAUCUUUUCGAUUCUACUGGUUUAUCUGC